rnacentral:rRNA from 1 species
UACGUAGGGGGCGAGCGUUGUCCGGAUUUAUUGGGCGUAAAGAGCUCGUAGGCGGUUCGAUAAGUCGGACGUGAAAUCUCCACGCUCAACGUGGAGGGGCCGUUCGAUACUGUCGUGACUCGAGUCCGGUAGGGGAGUGUGGAAUUCCCGGUGUAGCGGUGAAAUGCGCAGAUAUCGGGAGGAACACCGGUGGCGAAGGCGGUUCUCUGGGCCUUACCUGACGCUGAGGAGCGAAAGCGUGGGGAGCGAACAGG